GCUGGGCAUGGUGGCAUGUGCCUGUAAUCCCAGCUACUCAGGAGGCUGAGGCAGGAGAAUUGCCUGAACCCAGGAGGCGGAGGUUGCGGUGAGCCGAGAUUGCGCCAUUGCACUCCAGCCUGGGUAACAAGAGGGAGACUCCAUCUCAAAAAAAAAAAAAAAAAAAGACAAGUCUUGCUCUGUCACCAGGCUGGAGUGCAGUGGUACGAUCUCCGCUCACUGCAACCUCUGCUUCCUGGGUUCAAGCAAUUCCCUGCCUCAG
rnacentral:SRP_RNA from 1 species